rnacentral:rRNA from 1 species
UACGGAGGGAGCUAGCGUUGUUCGGAAUUACUGGGCGUAAAGCGCACGUAGGCGGCUUCUUAAGUCAGGGGUGAAAUCCUGGAGCUCAACUCCAGAACUGCCCUUGAUACUGAGGAGCCUCGAGUCCGGAAGAGGUGAGUGGAACUGCGAGUGUAGAGGUGAAAUUCGUAGAUAUUCGCAAGAACACCAGUGGCGAAGGCGGCUCACUGGUCCGGUACUGGACGCUGAGACGCGAAAGCGUGGGGAGC